GAACAUUUUUUCACAUUUAUUUCCUAUUUCCACUACUUUGUCUGAGAAAGGUCCAUUCAUUUCAGAUGCCCAUUUUGGGAUUGGGUCUUUAAAUUUGGGAGGUCUGAUUUAUUUUUAAGUUCUUUACGGAUUCGAGAUAGUACACAUUUGCCUGAGGAAAAACAGAAUUCAGCAGUGAAGCCAUCAGGACCCGGGCUUUCUUAGUUGAAUAUGAAGAUGAAUUUCACAGAGGAGCUGAAAGAAAACCCCUGAUCUAAUGCAUGGGGAUCAAAUGGAAAUCAGUGAAACCAUUAGAUCCUGUAUUGCAGCCUCUGGGCAAGAAAGCAUGUGUCUGCUUAAAGAAUCUGCAGCGAGGUCAGUGCACUCAGAACCCAAAAGCCAAGUGGAG
ensembl:lncRNA